rnacentral:rRNA from 1 species
UCCUUUUGUUAAAAUUUUAAGGUCUAGCCUGCCCACUGAAUAUUGAAUGGCCGCGGUAUUUUGACCGUGCUAAGGUAGCAUAAUCAUUAGUUUUUUAAUUGAAAGCUGGAAUGAAGGGUUGGAUGAAAAAAUUUCUGUCUCUAUUUAAUUUUAUUAAAAUUUUAUUUUUAAGUUAAAAAGCUUAAAUGUAUUUAAAAGACGAGAAGACCCUAUAGAGUUUUAUAAAUUUAAUUUAUAUAAAAUUUAGAAAUUUAAUUUUUUUUAAAAAUUAUAAAUUUAUUUGAUUGGGGUGAUUAAAAAAUUUAAUUAACUUUUUUAUAUUAAUAUAUUAAUUUAUAAAUUAUUGAUCCAAUUAUUUUGAUUAUAAGAAAAAAUUACCUUAGGGAUAACAGCGUAAUUUUAUUUUAGAGUUCAAAU